CGCCUGUUUAACAAAAACAUGUCUUUUUGAAUUUUUUUUAAAGUCUGACCUGCCCACUGAAUUUUUUUAAAUGGCCGCAGUAUACUAACUGUGCAAAGGUAGCAUAAUCAUUAGUCUUUUAAUUGAAGGCUGGUAUGAAUGGUUGGACGAGAUAUUAACUGUUUCAUAAAAAUUUAUAAUAGAAUUUUAUUUUUUAGUCAAAAAGCUAAAAUUUAUUUAAAAGACGAGAAGACCCUAUAAAUCUUUAUAUUUAUAUUAUUAUAAUUUUGUAGAUUUUUUUUGUUAUGAUAAUAGAUGAUAUUUUAUUGGGGUGAUAUUAAAAUUUAAUAAACUUUUAAUUGUUUAAAUCAUUAAUUUAUGAAUAAUUGAUCCGUUAUUAGCGAUUAAAAAAACAAGUUACUUUAGGGAUAACAGCGUAAUUUUUUUGGAGAGUUCAUAUCGAUAAAAAAGAUUGCGACCUCGAUGUUGGAUUAAGAUAUAAUUUUAGGUGUAGCCGCUUAAAUUUUAAGUCUGUCCGACUUUUAAAUUCUUACGUGAUCUGAGUUCAGACCGG
rnacentral:rRNA from 1 species